AGCGUAUAUUAAAGUUGUUGCAGUUAAAAAGCUCGUAGUUGAAUUUCGGGGUCAGUAGGUCGGUCGUGCCACUGGUAUGAACUGGUUUUACUGAUUCCUCCCUCUUGAAGAACUGUAAUGCCAUUAAUUUGGUGUUGCAGGGAAUCAGGACUGUUACUUUGAAAAAAUUAGAGUGUUUAAAGCAGGCUUUAGCUUGAAUACAUUAGCAUGAAAUAAUGAAAUAGGACGUUUGAUCCUAUUUUGUUGGUUUCUAGGAUUGACGUAAUGAUUAAUAGGGAUAGUUGGGGGCAUUAGUAUUCAAUUGUCAGAGGUGAAAUUCUUGGAUUUAUUGAAGACUAACUACUGCGAAAGCAUUUGCCAAGGAUGUUUUCAUUAAUCAAGAACGAAAGUUAGGGGAUCGAAGACGAUCAGAUACCGUCGUAGUCUUAACCAUAAACUAUGCCGACUAGGGAUCGGAUGAUGUUAAUUUUUUAAUGACUCAUUC
rnacentral:rRNA from 1 species